rnacentral:rRNA from 1 species
UCGGGAAUUUUGGGCAAUGGGCGAAAGCCUGACCCAGCAACGCCGCGUGAAGGAUGAAGUAUUUCGGUAUGUAAACUUCGUAAGAAUAGGAAGAAUAAAUGACGGUACUAUUUGUAAGGUCCGGCUAACUACGUGCCAGCAGCCGCGGUAAUACGUAGGGACCAAGCGUUGUUCGGAUUUACUGGGCGUAAAGGGCGCGUAGGCGGUGUGUCAAGUCAGUUGUGAAAUCUCCGAGCUUAACUCGGAACGGUCAACUGAUACUGUCACACUAGAGUACAGAAGGGGCAAUCGGAAUUCUUGGUGUAGCGGUGAAAUGCGUAGAUAUCAAGAGGAACACCUGAGGUGAAGACGGGUUGCUGGGCUGACACUGACGCUGAGGCGCGAAAGCCAGGGGAGCAAACGGGAUUAGAUACCCGAGUAGUCCCUGAGCGGGCUGGCAAGGCGCAU